AUGUGCGGCGGCGCCAUCAUCUACGACUACAUCCCGGCGCACCGCCGCCGGGUGUCCACCGCCGACUUCUGGCCCGACGCCAACGACCACUCCGACGCCCACAGCACCGCCCCCGACAAAGCGCCGCGCGCGAAGCGGGGGCGGACGAACCAGUACCGCGGCAUCCGGCAGCGGCCGUGGGGGAAGUGGGCGGCGGAGAUCCGCGACCCCGUCAAGGGCGUCCGCGUCUGGCUCGGCACCUACCCCACCGCCGAGGCCGCCGCGCGCGCCUACGACCGCGCCGCGCGCCGCAUCAGGGGCGCCAAGGCCAAGGUCAACUUCCCCAACGAGAUCCUCGUCGGCGCGCCCGCGCACGAGGCCCCGUGCACGAUGGCGGCCGUGCUCCCUUCCCCCAAGAAAGAGGAGGAGCCCGCGGCGUGCUCCUGCGAGGAGGUGAAGGCGCUCUCCGAGGAGCUGAUGGCGUACGAGAGCUACAUGAGCUUCCUCGGGGUCCCCUACAUGGAGGGCGGGGCCGCGGCCGCCCCUGCCGCCGAGGAGGCGCCGGCCGAGCUAUGGAGCUUCGAGGACAGCUACUACCCAGGGCCUCUGGGGCUCUGA
rnacentral:rRNA from 1 species